AAAAAAUACUAAAUUCGAUUGAAAUUCUGGGUUUUUUGACCAAAAAACGAGAUAGAAACGACAAAAAUCCAUUUCUAGUGACAAAAUUGAUAUUUUCGGUAGAUAAC